GGACUGGUUAGCUCAGUCAGUUGAGCAUAGCGUUAACAACACUAAGGUCACGGGUUCGAUUCCCAUUCAGUCCC
rfam:Apaloderma vittatum contig10034, whole genome shotgun sequence.